rnacentral:rRNA from 1 species
GAUAAGGUUAAGUGAAUAAGGGCGCACGGUGGAUGCCUUGGCACUAGGAGCCGAUGAAGGACGGGACUAACACCGAUAUGCUUUGGGGAGCUGUAAGUAAGCUAUGAUCCAGAGAUUUCCGAAUGGGGGAACCCAAUAUCUUUUAUAGGAUAUUACUUUUCAGUGAAUACAUAGCUGAUUAGAGGUAGACGCAGAGAACUGAAACAUCUUAGUACCUGCAGGAAGAGAAAGAAAAUUCGAUUCCCUGAGUAGCGGCGAGCGAAACGGGAAGAGCCCAAACCAACAAGCUUG